AUUGAACGCUGGCGGCAUGCCUUACACAUGCAAGUCGAACGGCAGCACGGGUGCUUGCACCUGGUGGCGAGUGGCGAACGGGUGAGUAAUACAUCGGAACGUACCUUAUCGUGGGGGAUAACGCAGCGAAAGCUGUGCUAAUACCGCAUACGCCCUGAGGGGGAAAGCGGGGGAUCGCAAGACCUCGCGCGAUUAGAGCGGCCGAUGCCUGAUUAGCUUGUUGGUGGGGGAAAAGCCCACCAAGGCGACGAGCAGUAGCUGGUCUGAGAGGACGAUCAGCCACACUGGGGCUGAGACACGGCCCAGACUCCUACGGGAGGCAGCAGUGGGGAAUUUUGGACAAUGGGGCAACCCUGAUCCAGCAAUGCCGCGUGAGUGAAGAAGGCCUUCGGGUUGUAAAGCUCUUUUGUCAGGGAAGAAACACCGGCUCUAACACAGUCCGGGAAUGACGGUACCUGAAGAAUAAGCACCGGCUAACUACGUGCCAGCAGCCGCGGUAA
rnacentral:rRNA from 1 species